rnacentral:rRNA from 1 species
UUAAGCGACUAAGCGUACACGGUGGAUGCCCUGGCAGUCAGAGGCGAUGAAGGACGUGCUAAUCUGCGAUAAGCGUCGGUAAGGUGAUAUGAACCGUUAUAACCGGCGAUUUCCGAAUGGGGAAACCCAGUGUGAUUCGUCACACUAUCAUUAACUGAAUCCAUAGGUUAAUGAGGCGAACCGGGGGAACUGAAACAUCUAAGUACCCCGAGGAAAAGAAAUCAACCGAGAUUCCCCCAGUAGCGGCGAGCGAACGGGGAGCAGCCCAGAGCCUGAAUCAGUGUGUGUGUUAGUGGAAGCGUCUGGAAAGGCGCGCGAUACAGGGUGACAGCCCCGUACACAAAAAUGCACAUACUGUGAGCUCGAUGAGUAGGGCGGGACACGUGGUAUCCUGUCUGAAUAUGGGGGGACCAUCCUCCAAGGCUAAAUACUCCUGACUGACCGAUAGUGAACCAGUACCGUGAGGGAAAGGCGAAAAGAACCCCGGCGAGGGGAGUGAAAAAGAACCUGAAACCGUGUACGUACAAGCAGUGGGAGCCUCUUUUAUGGGGUGACUGCGUACCUUUUGUAUAAUGGGUCAGCGACUUAUAUUCUGUAGCAAGGUUAACCGAAUAGGGGAGCCGAAGGGAAACCGAGUCUUAACCGGGCGUUAAGUUGCAGGGUAUAGACCCGAAACCCGGUGAUCUAGCCAUGGGCAGGUUGAAGGUUGGGUAACACUAACUGGAGGACCGAACCGACUAAUGUUGAAAAAUUAGCGGAUGACUUGUGGCUGGGGGUGAAAGGCCAAUCAAACCGGGAGAUAGCUGGUUCUCCCCGAAAGCUAUUUAGGUAGCGCCUCGUGAAUUCAUCUCCGGGGGUAGAGCACUGUUUCGGCAAGGGGGUCAUCCCGACUUACCAACCCGAUGCAAACUGCGAAUACCGGAGAAUGUUAUCACGGGAGACACACGGCGGGUGCUAACGUCCGUCGUGAAGAGGGAAACAACCCAGACCGCCAGCUAAGGUCCCAAAGUCAUGGUUAAGUGGGAAACGAUGUGGGAAGGCCCAGACAGCCAGGAUGUUGGCUUAGAAGCAGCCAUCAUUUAAAGAAAGCGUAAUAGCUCACUGGUCGAGUCGGCCUGCGCGGAAGAUGUAACGGGGCUAAACCAUGCACCGAAGCUGCGGCAGCGACACUGUGUGUUGUUGGGUAGGGGAGCGUUCUGUAAGCCUGUGAAGGUGUACUGUGAGGUAUGCUGGAGGUAUCAGAAGUGCGAAUGCUGACAUAAGUAACGAUAAAGCGGGUGAAAAGCCCGCUCGCCGGAAGACCAAGGGUUCCUGUCCAACGUUAAUCGGGGCAGGGUGAGUCGACCCCUAAGGCGAGGCCGAAAGGCGUAGUCGAUGGGAAACAGGUUAAUAUUCCUGUACUUGGUGUUACUGCGAAGGGGGACGGAGAAGGCUAUGUUGGCCGGGCGACGGUUGUCCCGGUUUAAGCGUGUAGGCUGGUUUUCCAGGCAAAUCCGGAAAAUCAAGGCUGAGGCGUGAUGACGAGGCACUACGGUGCUGAAGCAACAAAUGCCCUGCUUCCAGGAAAAGCCUCUAAGCAUCAGGUAACAUCAAAUCGUACCCCAAACCGACACAGGUGGUCAGGUAGAGAAUACCAAGGCGCUUGAGAGAACUCGGGUGAAGGAACUAGGCAAAAUGGUGCCGUAACUUCGGGAGAAGGCACGCUGAUAUGUAGGUGAAGUCCCUCGCGGAUGGAGCUGAAAUCAGUCGAAGAUACCAGCUGGCUGCAACUGUUUAUUAAAAACACAGCACUGUGCAAACACGAAAGUGGACGUAUACGGUGUGACGCCUGCCCGGUGCCGGAAGGUUAAUUGAUGGGGUCAGCGCAAGCGAAGCUCUUGAUCGAAGCCCCGGUAAACGGCGGCCGUAACUAUAACGGUCCUAAGGUAGCGAAAUUCCUUGUCGGGUAAGUUCCGACCUGCACGAAUGGCGUAAUGAUGGCCAGGCUGUCUCCACCCGAGACUCAGUGAAAUUGAACUCGCUGUGAAGAUGCAGUGUACCCGCGGCAAGACGGAAAGACCCCGUGAACCUUUACUAUAGCUUGACACUGAACAUUGAGCCUUGAUGUGUAGGAUAGGUGGGAGGCUUUGAAGUGUGGACGCCAGUCUGCAUGGAGCCGACCUUGAAAUACCACCCUUUAAUGUUUGAUGUUCUAACGUGGACCCGUGAUCCGGGUUGCGGACAGUGUCUGGUGGGUAGUUUGACUGGGGCGGUCUCCUCCUAAAGAGUAACGGAGGAGCACGAAGGUUGGCUAAUCCUGGUCGGACAUCAGGAGGUUAGUGCAAUGGCAUAAGCCAGCUUGACUGCGAGCGUGACGGCGCGAGCAGGUGCGAAAGCAGGUCAUAGUGAUCCGGUGGUUCUGAAUGGAAGGGCCAUCGCUCAACGGAUAAAAGGUACUCCGGGGAUAACAGGCUGAUACCGCCCAAGAGUUCAUAUCGACGGCGGUGUUUGGCACCUCGAUGUCGGCUCAUCACAUCCUGGGGCUGAAGUAGGUCCCAAGGGUAUGGCUGUUCGCCAUUUAAAGUGGUACGCGAGCUGGGUUUAGAACGUCGUGAGACAGUUCGGUCCCUAUCUGCCGUGGGCGCUGGAGAACUGAGGGGGGCUGCUCCUAGUACGAGAGGACCGGAGUGGACGCAUCACUGGUGUUCGGGUUGUCAUGCCAAUGGCACUGCCCGGUAGCUAAAUGCGGAAGAGAUAAGUGCUGAAAGCAUCUAAGCACGAAACUUGCCCCGAGAUGAGUUCUCCCUGACCCUUUAAGGGUCCUGAAGGAACGUUGAAGACGACGACGUUGAUAGGCCGGGUGUGUAAGCGCAGCGAUGCGUUGAGCUAACCGGUACUAAUGAACCGUGAGGCUUAACCUU